rnacentral:lncRNA from 1 species
AAGCAAUUGAUCUGCAAGGACCUGCCUUUGAAAUAUUGACACAUUGAGACUGUGUCUAUUCUAGGAAGGCUGACACAUGAUGAGAAGAGUCAGUGGUCCUGAGGUACAGUACUUAAGAUAACCCUGUGAAGGCUGAGAUUGAUAUUUGAAAUUCACAACUGAUCUUGGAGCCUGGUACAGCAGUCAUGGAUUUGUUCAUGUGUGGAUGUGAUGGAACUGAAGUCGCUAGGUUCAUGCUACCUGGAACAUGAGACUGACAAAUAGAGGAGCACUGAGUCAAAUGAAUCUCGGAGAAAUGGAGCUGGAAGAAAACUGGAGUAAGCCUGUCCCUGAAAGGGCACUACAUUUGGAUAUCCAGCAGUGGGACUCAAUAUUUUUUCUUGUUGUUUAAUCUCAUUUCUGUUACUUGCAGCCAAAGGCUCUUAAUGAGAAAAUGGCUCUACCUAGUUUUCUGAAAUUGCCUCAGUCUCUCCACUCUUCCCUAUUACAAAGGUCAUCUCUUUAAUUCACAUCCAAUAACUGAUAGUCUCUUGACUAAUCUACAUCCUCUCAUUCUCUCCUAAUUCACCUUUCAUACUGUUGCCAGGUGACUUUUCCUAAAAGACAACUUUCAUGAUGUCACUCUACUUCAUAAAUUCUUAUAAUGGUUUCUUUUUGCUUUUAGUCCAAACUCCUCAGGUUCGUUUUCAAGGCUUUUCAUAAUUGAAUUUCUUUUAUAUACCUAAGAUGAUUUCUCUGUGUUCCCAAAUGUACAAUUGACAGUCCUUCCUCCUGAUGUUCUCUCCAGUAGGAAAUGUUUGCUCUAUGUAAAUUCAGUAUAGCUUUUAGUCUCUAUUCAAGUUCUACCUUCUUCAUAAACUUCUCCUGAAUAGAAUCAGCCUAUAACCAUUUAAACUGUCUUUAUUAGGUGCACACUAUGUGCCAGGUACUCAACAAGGCAGUGGAACUAUGAAGACAGAUAAUCACAGUCCCUCUUGCCUCUGGGAGCAGGCAGUUGAAUGCAAUGCUUUUUAAAGUUUUAAGUAACGUGGUCAUGCAAAAUCUUAUAGAUAUACAUUUGAAUGUACAGAGUUUAAUUACCAAGCUAGUGAG